CCGGAGGGGCGAAGGUCGAGGCACGAGGCGAACGCUAGGGUUUUCUUCAAUAAGGUCGCGCCGGAGGCGAAGAUUUGGGUGAGGAGGUUCAGAUUGGGGUGGUGAAAAUGUGUAGGACGUUUUGGUUUGUUCCUCACGGUAUGUUUUCGCGUCACCGAUUCACCGGUUAAUAAAAAUGUAUAUGAGGUGGCGGCUCACUUUGCUAAAGUCAGCUAGCUAUGUAGAGAUAGCGCGGACAAUGACACCGAAUUUUUUUGGGGGGCGAUGAUGCUUAUUUUGAACCAGCAAGCUCUGCAUUAAGAAGCGCGGAGAUGGAGGAAUUGGCGAAAGCCAUUGCCAGCGUCUGAAACGCAAGGGAAAGUUCUUUGAAGACCAGGAAUUUGAUUUAUCUCGCUCUCGAUAGUCCUUAUAGAUCAUGUAUUUCUUUGUUGUAAUUUUGUAAGGAGAUGUCUUUUUGAUACAUUUGUUUCACGGUAAAUUAUGAAAUAAAAUGGGAUGCCGAAAGUUUAUGCUCCAA